UACGUAGGGUGCGAGCGUUAAUCGGAAUUACUGGGCGUAAAGCGUGCGCAGGCGGCCGCGCAAGUCGAGUGUGAAAUCCCCGAGCUUAACUUGGGAAUUGCGCUCGAAACUACGUGGCUCGAGUGUGGCAGAGGAAGGUGGAAUUCCACGUGUAGCGGUGAAAUGCGUAGAGAUGUGGAGGAACACCGAUGGCGAAGGCAGCCUUCUGGGCCAACACUGACGCUCAUGCACGAAAGCGUGGGGAGCAAACAGG
rnacentral:rRNA from 1 species